rnacentral:rRNA from 1 species
UACGGGGGGGGCAAGCGUUGUUCGGAUUCACUGGGCGUAAAGGGUGCGUAGGCGGUCGGGUAAGUCUGACGUGAAAUCUCCGAGCCUAACUCGGAAACUGCGUCGGAUACUAUUCGGCUUGAGGAUUGGAGGGGAGACUGGAAUUCUCGGUGUAGCAGUGAAAUGCGUAGAUAUCGAGAGGAACACCAGCGGCGAAGGCGAGUCUCUGGACAAUUCCUGACGCUGAGGCACGAAAGCCAGGGGAGCAAACGGG